UACGUAGGGGGCAAGCGUUGUCCGGAAUCAUUGGGCGUAAAGAGCGUGUAGGCGGUCCGGUAAGUCCGCCGUGAAAGUCCAGGGCUCAACCCUGGAAUGCCGGUGGAAACUGUCGGGCUGGAGUCCGGAAGAGGCGAGUGGAAUUCCUGGUGUAGCGGUGAAAUGCGCAGAUAUCAGGAGGAACACCAAUGGCGAAGGCAGCUCGCUGGGACGGUACUGACGCUGAGACGCGAAAGCGUGGGGAGCAAACAGG
rnacentral:rRNA from 1 species